UAAUAUACCAGUUCUCGUUAGAUCACCGAAGUAAAGCAUCAUUGGGCGCGGUCAGUACUUGGGUGGGUGACCACCUGGGAACACCUUUGUGCCGU
rnacentral:rRNA from 1 species